rnacentral:rRNA from 1 species
UACGAGGGGUGCAAGCGUUGCUCGGAAUUAUUGGGCGUAAAGGGUUGGUAGGUGGUCUUGUUUGUCUAGGGUGAAAUCCCAUGGCUUAACUGUGGAAGUGCCCUAGAAACGGCAAGACUAGAGUCCUAGAGGGGUUUGUGGAAUUCCCGGUGUAGCGGUGAAAUGCGUAGAUAUCGAGAGGAACACCUGCGGCGAAGGCGGGUUGCUGGGCUGAUACUGACGCUGAGGCGCGAAAGCUAGGGGAGCGAACGGG